rnacentral:rRNA from 1 species
UACAGAGGGGGCAAGCGUUGUUCGGAAUUACUGGGCGUAAAGGGCGCGUAGGCGGCCCUCUAAGUCAGACGUGAAAUCCCUCGGCUCAACCGGGGAACUGCGUCUGAUACUGGGUGGCUUGAAUCCGGGAGAGGGAUGCGGAAUUCCAGGUGUAGCGGUGAAAUGCGUAGAUAUCUGGAGGAACACCGGUGGCGAAGGCGGCAUCCUGGACCGGCAUUGACGCUGAGGCGCGAAAGCUAGGGGAGCAAACGGG